GUUUUAGCAAUAGAACUUUGAGAGUGGCGCACGGGUGCGUAACACGUAUGCAACCUACCCUUUACUAAGGAAUAGCCUCUCGAAAGAGAGAUUAAUACCUUAUAAUAUGUACUGAAGGCAUCUUUGGUAUCUUAAAGCUGAGGCGGUAAAGGAUGGGCAUGCGGUUGAUUAGCUAGUUGGUGAGGUAAUGGCUCACCAAGGCUUCGAUCAAUAGGGGGUCUGAGAGGAUGUCCCCCCACACUGGUACUGAGACACGGACCAGACUCCUACGGGAGGCAGCAGUAGGGAAUAUUGGACAAUGGGCGCAAGCCUGAUCCAGCCAUGCCGCGUGCAGGAUGAAGGCCCUAUGGGUCGUAAACUGCUUUUGUACGGGAAGAAACUUCAUUACGUGUAAUGAACUGACGGUACCGUGAGAAUAAGGAUCGGCUAACUUCGUGCCAGCAGCCGCGGUAAUACGAAGGAUCCAAGCGUUGUCCGGAUUUACUGGGUUUAAAGGGAGCGUAGGCGGACUUUUAAGUCAGUGGUGAAAGCUUGCAGCUUAACUGUAAAAUUGCCAUUGAAACUGAAAGUCUCGAGUAUGGUUGAGGUAACUGGAAUAUAUCAUGUAGCGGUGAAAUGCUUAGAUAUGAUAUAGAACACCAAUUGCGAAGGCAGGUUACUAAACCAUAACUGACGCUGAGGCUCGAAAGCGUGGGGAUCAAACAGGAUUAGAUACCCUGGUAGUCCACGCCCUAAACGUUGAAUACUCGAUCUUAGCGAUAUACAGUUAGGAUCCAAGCGAAAGCGUUAAGUAUUCCACCU
rnacentral:rRNA from 1 species